rnacentral:rRNA from 1 species
UACGGGGGGGGCAAGCGUUGUUCGGAAUUACUGGGCGUAAAGGGCUCGUAGGCGGCCAACUAAGUCAGACGUGAAAUCCCCAGGCUUAACCUGGGAACUGCGUCGGAUACUGGAUGGCUUGAAUCCGGGAGAGGGAUGCGGAAUUCCAGGUGUAGCGGUGAAAUGCGUAGAUAUCUGGAGGAACACCGGUGGCGAAGGCGGCAUCCUGGACCGGCAUUGACGCUGAGGAGCGAAAGCGUGGGGAGCGAACAGG